rnacentral:piRNA from 2 species
GGAUUAGCUCAAAUGGUAGAGCGC